UUGAUUUACUUUCUUUAAUUAUAUUCAGCAUUGAGAAAUAAUUUCUUGAAUUUCACUGAUUUGAUCCCUUCCAGCUGCAGUGCCUAGGUCUUGACUUCUGUAUACAUCCAAGGUCCCAAUCUUGUUAAUUAUGUGUUUUUGCACCAUUUGC